GAUGAACGCUAGCGGCAGGCCUAAUACAUGCAAGCCGAACGGCAAGUUUGAUAGCAAUAUUGGACCUAGAGUGGCGCAAGGGUGCGUAACACGUAUGCAACCUGCCCGCGACAGGAGGAUAGCUCCCCGAAAGGGGAAUUAACCCUCCAUAACACCAUGAGAAGGCAUCUGAUUAUGGUUAAACCGCAAGGGGUCGCGGAUGGGCAUGCGGUUGAUUAGCUAGUUGGCGGGGUAAAGGCCCACCAAGGCGGUGAUCAAUAGGGGUUCUGAGAGGAAGGUCCCGCAAGCUGGAACGGAGAUACGGGGCAGACUACUACGGGAGGAAGCAGUAGGGAAUAUGGGACAAUGGUUGCAAGACUGAUCCAGCAAUGCCGAGUGCAGGAAGAAGGCUGUCUGGGUCGUAAACUGCUUUUGCCUGUGGAUAAAAUACCCGUGCGCGGGGAAUUGAAGGUAACAGGGGAAUAAGCAACGGCUAACUACGUG
rnacentral:rRNA from 1 species